UACGUAGGGUGCGAGCGUUAGUCGGAAUUACUGGGCGUAAAGCGUGCGCAGGCGGUCUGUUAAGACCGAUGUGAAAUCCCCGGGCUUAACCUGGGAACUGCAUUGGUGACUGGCAGGCUUUGAGUGUGGCAGAGGGAGGUAGAAUUCCACGUGUAGCAGUGAAAUGCGUAGAGAUGUGGAGGAAUACCGAUGGCGAAGGCAGCCUCCUGGGCCAACACUGACGCUCAUGCACGAAAACGUGGGAGCAAACAGG
rnacentral:rRNA from 1 species